UACGAAGGACCCGAGCGUUAUCCGGAUUUAUUGGGUUUAAAGGGUGCGUAGGCGGAUUUAUAAGUCAGUGGUGAAAGCCUGUAGCUUAACUAUAGAAUUGCCAUUGAUACUGUAAGUCUUGAGUAUAGUUGAGGUGGGCGGAAUGUGCAGUGUAGCGGUGAAAUGCUUAGAUAUUGCACAGAACACCAAUUGCGAAGGCAGCUCGCUAAACUAUAACUGACGCUGAGGCACGAAAGUGUGGGUAGCAAACAGG
rnacentral:rRNA from 1 species